rnacentral:rRNA from 1 species
UGAGCAACCUGCCCUUCACAUUGGGGUAACCCCGGGAAACCAGGGCUAAUACCGAAUACGACCACCGACGACAUCGUCUGGUGGUGGAAAGCUCCGGCGGUGAGGGAUGGGCUCGCGGCCUAUCAGCUAGUUGGUGGGGUGACGGCCCACCAAGGCGACGACGGGUAGCCGGCCUGAGAGGGUGACCGGCCACACUGGGACUGAGACACGGCCCAGACUCCUACGGGAGGCAG